ACAGCUCAAAUUUGAAAUCUGGCCCCUCAAGGUCCGAGUUGUAAUUUGUAGAGGAUGCUUUUGGUGAGGUGCCGCCCGAGUUCCCUGGAACGGGACGCCGCAGAGGGUGAGAGCCCCGUCUGGCUGGCCGCCGAACCUAUGUAAAGCUCCUUCGACGAGUCGAGUAGUUUGGGAAUGCUGCUCAAAAUGGGAGGUAUAUGUCUUCUAAAGCUAAAUAUUGGCCAGAGACCGAUAGCGCACAAGUAGAGUGAUCGAAAGAUGAAAAGCACCUUGAAAAGAGGGUUAAAUAGUACGUGAAAUUGUUGAAAGGGAAGCGCUUGUGACCAGACUUGGGCGCGGCGGAUCAUCCGGGGUUCUCCCCGGUGCACUUCGCCGUGUCCAGGCCAGCAUCAGUUCGUCGCGGGGGAAAAAGGCUUCGGGAACGUGGCUCCUCCGGGAGUGUUAUAGCCCGUUGCACAAUACCCUGCGGUGGACUGACGACCGCGCUUCGGCAAGGAUGCUGGCGUAAUGGUCACCAGCGACCCGUCUUGAAACACGGACCAAGGAGUCGUCUUCGUAUGCGAGUGUUCGGGUGU
rnacentral:rRNA from 1 species